CACGUAGGGUGCAAGCGUUAAUCGGAAUUACUGGGCGUAAAGCGUGCGCAGGCGGUGCUGUAAGACAGGUGUGAAAUCCCCGGGCUUAACCUGGGAACUGCAUUUGUGACUGCAUCGCUGGAGUGCGGCAGAGGGGGAUGGAAUUCCGCGUGUAGCAGUGAAAUGCGCAGAUAUCAGGAGGAACACCGGUGGCGAAGGCGGUGCUCUGGGCCGAAACUGACGCUGAGGAGCGAAAGCGUGGGUAGCAAACAGG
rnacentral:rRNA from 1 species